GCCUUCCUAUAUCUGCAGGCCAGUAGGCCAUACCCUAGGGGGGUCGAGGUUUGCUAUUUGUACUUUUUUUUGGGCGAAUCUCGAUUGAAAGAAUCUCCUUCGGCUCCGCUACAAUCGCCAAAAAAAACUCUAUUUUUCCUGCUAUUAAGAAUCAAGAAAUGCGGAACUUUUUCUCUUCUUUAAAGCAUCCUUAAAUUAAAGGCUUAUAGAAGGCACUUUAACAAAUGACGUAAGAUGAUGCCCGAAAUAAGUGAACUAAACUGGCAUUCAAUCUCUUUUGUUGGAGUUUUGGGGGUAUUUCUUACAAAGACGCUUACACAAACUAACCGAAAAUCCUAUCUAAGAAAGUGGCUACUAGCUCAAGUGCUGGUGAAAACCUCACUUUUUAGUGAUAGGAGGGUUUUCCAACUAAGCCGAAGAUAUAAGCUGACGGUCCAGGUGCAAGAGAAGACUUUAUAAGCCGCUUACUCGGAACUUGUGCUUUCAUAUCCAUACUGCUUUCCUUCAUAGCAGCAAAGGAGAACGCGAUAUUGAUUCAAUCGGAGGUUCAUACUCUGCUUCCUAAUCCGGAAAGAUCGUAUGUCAAUGUUCUCAGGAUAGGAACUUCCACUUUUCUUAGUCAGAGUAUGGGCUUGGGCUUCGAUUUGGGACUCCGAAUCAAUCAAUCGAAUGGGAAAACAUCUUUCCUCUUUCGCUUUUUCUCCACACCUGCUCUUGUGGCUUCCCUUCCGGGUUCAUUUCAUGCCCCCUCCGGUUACUCUGUCCCUGGCAUCCCUUUCUUCCCCUUCAUCUUCAGGAAAGCGGGUAAACUCAUGGCCUAUUCCCUAUUUGAUUCUCUAGGAUGUGGUCUCUUUUUGUCUGGCCAUAAAUAGUGAGUGAGACCUCAUGUUCGCCGGGUUUUUUCAAAAGAUUUGGUAGUUAAUGGAGAACGAAAAAUCCUUAAGCGGAUUGUUAUUCUUAAUUAGAUGAAACAGUGGUUGACUUGGUUUUCUUGAUAUCAUAUUGUAGCAUUUUCACGAGAUGUGUAAAUAAUCAAAGUCUAAAUUGCAAAAUUGAGCAAUAUGAAGCAAAUGCCAA